rnacentral:rRNA from 1 species
UACGUAGGGGGCAAGCGUUGUCCGGAUUUAUUGGGCGUAAAGAGCGUGUAGGCGGCCUGAAAGGUCAGCUGUGAAAACUCGAGGCUUAACCUCGAGACGUCGGUUGAAACCAUCUGGCUAGAGUCCGGAAGAGGAGAGUGGAAUUCCCGGUGUAGCGGUGAAAUGCGCAGAUAUCGGGAAGAACACCUAUGGCGAAGGCAGCUCUCUGGGACGGUACUGACGCUGAGACGCGAAAGCGUGGGGAGCGAACAGG